UUUGAGGAAGCUGUGAGAAUACAGAAAAACAUGAUUUUUUUUAACUAUAAAACUGCACAAUGAUGAAAUCUAGGACGCACAUAAUCGAAAAUUCACAGCGACUUGAGUUCUUUUUUUUUUAACAAGAUUGCAUGUAAAAGUGCAAAAUAAUUAAUUUUAUUUAUAAUAUAUUAGAAUAUAAUAAUGACUGAACAUGAAUUUUAAUUUCCAGAGAUUAUGAAUAAGAAGACCUUCUGCGAUCAUCCAUGGAAA
rnacentral:lncRNA from 1 species